rnacentral:rRNA from 1 species
ACGCUCGACACCUACGGGAGGCUGCAGUAGGGAAUCUUCCACAAUGGGCGGCAAGCCUGAUGGAGCAACACCGCGUGAGUGAAGAAGGGUUUCGGCUCGUAAAGCUCUGUUGUUGGAGAAGAACGUGCGUGAGAGUAACUGUUCACGCAGUGACGGUAUCCAACCAGAAAGUCACGGCUAACUACGUGCCGGCAGCCGCGGUAAUCUGAGCGGGCUGGCAAGGC